AUUGAACGCUGGCGGCAGGCCUAACACAUGCAAGUCGGACGGUAGCACAGAGGAGCUUGCUCCUUGGGUGACGAGUGGCGGACGGGUGAGUAAUGUCUGGGGAUCUGCCCGAUAGAGGGGGAUAACCACUGGAAACGGUGGCUAAUACCGCAUAACGUCGCAAGACCAAAGAGGGGGACCUUCGGGCCUCUCACUAUCGGAUGAACCCAGAUGGGAUUAGCUAGUAGGCGGGGUAAUGGCCCACCUAGGCGACGAUCCCUAGCUGGUCUGAGAGGAUGACCAGCCACACUGGAACUGAGACACGGUCCAGACUCCUACGGGAGGUAGCAGUGGGGAAUAUUGCACAAUGGGCGCAAGCCUGAUGCAGCCAUGCCGCGUGUAUGAAGAAGGCCUUCGGGUUGUAAAGUACUUUCAGCGGGGAGGAAGGCGGUGAGGUUAAUAACCUUGCCGAUUGACGUUACCCGCAGAAGAAGCACCGGCUAACUCCGUGCCAGCCGCCGCCGUAAAAC
rnacentral:rRNA from 1 species